ACUCGUCAGACUCAUGCAUUAUACUAAAAAGCAAAAUAAACAACUAAAAGGAAAUAACAAUAAAUAAACUAUCUAAAAACAGCAAAGUAAAAGCGAUAAAGGAAAAACGAGAAAAGCAAAUAAAGAAAAGACGAUAGAGUCUCCUCCCACACUUAAAUCGAACAUUGUCCCCAAUGUUUUGAAUCAAGAUAAGGGAAGAGUUACCU
rnacentral:lncRNA from 1 species